ACCUGGUUGAUCCUGCCAGUAGUCAUAUGCUUGUCUCAAAGACUAAGCCAUGCAUGUCUAAGUAUAAGUUAUAUACGGCGAAACUGCGAAUGGCUCAUUAAAACAGUUAUAGUUUAUUUGAUGAUGAGUUUUAUAUGGAUAACCGUGGGAAACCAGAGCUAAUACAUGCGUGAAGACCUUUUGGUUGUAUUUAUUAGUUUAAACCAUUGGCUAUGCCGAUGUGAUGAUUCAUAAUAACUGAUCGGAGGGCAUCGGUAUGCCCUAAAUCUUUCAAGUUUCUGCCCUAUCAGCUUUCGAUGGUAGUGUAUUGGACUACCAUGGCGUUCACGGGUAACGGAGAAUUAGGGUUCGAUUCCGGAGAGGGAGCCUGAGAAACGGCUACCACAUCUAAGGAAGGCAGCAGGCGCGUAAAUUACCCAAUCCUGACACAGGGAGGUAGUGACAAUAAAUAACAAUGCCGGGCCAUUUUUGGUCUGGCAAUUGGAAUGAGAACAAUUUAAAUCCCUUAUCGAGGAUCAAUUGGAGGGCAAGUCUGGUGCCAGCAGCCGCGGUAA
rnacentral:rRNA from 1 species